rnacentral:rRNA from 1 species
GACGACGCUGGCGGCGUGCCUAACACAUGCAAGUCAAGCGGGGUUGAAGCGAGAGGUAACUCGAGUUUCUACCUAGCGGCGGACGGGUGAGUAACGCGUGGGCAACCUGCCUCAAGGUCUGGGAUAACAGCCCGAAAGGGCUGCUAAUACCGGGUAUGCUUGUGGCCUCGCAUGGGGCUAUGAGCAAAGGGGAAACCCGCCUUGAGAUGGGCCCGCGUCCCAUCAGCUAGUUGGUGAGGUAACAGCUCACCAAGGCGACGACGGGUAGCCGGCCUGAGAGGGUGACCGGCCACACUGGGACUGAGACACGGCCCAGACUCCUACGGGGGGCAGCAGUGGGGGAUCUUGCACAAUGGGCGAAAGCCUGAUGCAGCGACGCCGCGUGAGCGAAGAAGGCCUUCGGGUUGUAAAGCUCUGUCUGGAGGGACGAAGGAAGUGACGGUACCUCCGGAGGAAGCCACGGCUAACUACGUG